rnacentral:rRNA from 1 species
UACGUAGGCGGCAAGCGUUGUCCGGAAUUAUUGGGCGUAAAGGGAGCGCAGGCGGGAAACUAAGCGGAUCUUAAAAGUGCGGGGCUCAACCCUGUGAUGGGGUCCGAACUGGUUUUCUUGAGUGCAGGAGAGGAAAGCGGAAUUCCCAGUGUAGCGGUGAAAUGCGUAGAUAUUGGGAAGAACACCAGUGGCGAAGGCGGCUUUCUGGACUGUAACUGACGCUGAGGCUCGAAAGCUAGGGUAGCGAACGGG